UCGGGAAUAUUGCGCAAUGGAGGAAACUCUGACGCAGUGACGCCGCGUGCAGGAAGAAGGUUUUCGGAUUGUAAACUGCUUUAGACAGGGAAGAGAAAGGACAGUACCUGUAGAAUAAGCUCCGGCUAACUACGUGCCAGCAGCCGCGGUAAUACGUAGGGAGCGAGCGUUAUCCGGAUUUAUUGGGUGUAAAGGGUGCGUAGACGGGAAUACAAGUUAGUUGUGAAAUACCUCGGCUUAACUGAGGAACUGCAACUAAAACUAUAUUUCUUGAGUACAGGAGAGGUAAGUGGAAUUCCUAGUGUAGCGGUGAAAUGCGUAGAUAUUAGGAGGAACACCAGUGGCGAAGGCGACUUACUGGACUGAAACUGACGUUGAGGCACGAAAGUGUGGGGAGCAAACA
rnacentral:rRNA from 1 species